UUAGGUAUUGUGGAUUUGAUUUCCGAGUGGCCACUCUAUAAGAAUGCCACCCUAGGACCGAAGCUGAUCGAAUGCGAUUUUCAUAUGAUGUUUAAAAAAACGAAUUUUUCUUUUUUUACACGUCCUCAAAAUUUUUAAUGACGAAAUAAAGGACAAAGUAUCCAGGGACCUCUUUGCUAAGCUUGAGUACAAAUCAAUAGAUGAAAAUUCAAGAAACUGCAUUAUAGCAUUAUUACUUAAUGCUGUAAUAACUCCUACUGCUAAAUACAAACAUAAUGGGAAGCUGAAAAAGGUGACCAUAAGUGAAGCCAUGAACAGCUUUAUUUUGCGCAUUUUGUCAACGUCAACUUUAGAGGAAGAAAUUUUAAAUAUGAGGCACCGUUUUGAGCGCCAAAAUUGUACAUUGCAGCCAAUAAUUGUUGUAGUAGGUGAAAGUUUAAUUAAAGUUACUGAAUUUUAUGUAUAUUGUGACGGACUGAAGUUCAAGUUUUCAUCCUCCGUUAAGAGCUUGGAUAUGUGCCUCAAAAUUUUUCAUGUUCUAAAUUUUCAAUACCCGAUUUAUUGUAAAGGCGUGUGGAAUUUCAUACAAACGUUUUUUUAUAAGAUUAAAACUCCAAAGUACGAAUAUUCACCAAAAAUAUCUGGCCUAGUUUCUCACUUAAAUACGCUUUUAAUAGAUAAUUAAUAGUUUAAUUAAAGAUGUUUCAUGUUUCGUGUACAGUAAAAAGUUAUGAAGUGUUAAGGAAAUCUUGAAACACUUCUAAGAUUUUCAUAAGUUAAAAAGCUAUGGAGUUUUUAAGUGUUGUCAAAAAAAUUGUUUUCAGCAUUUCUCAAGCAAAUACUCGUUUUCAAAACACUUAAAUUUACACCAUGAGAAGAAUGGAAACUUGAACUUUUAUAAUGAGCAUAAAAAUAACUUUGAAUUUUCCUUAGCAUCGCUGCCAAACUUUUCUGGAUCUGUAGAUAACAAUAAUGAAAAACUUAAAAUUGUUAAUUCUAACUUUGACUUUUCGAAUGAAAUUCAUAAAACUGCUAUGACCUUAACAUCUGAAUUGUACGCAAAAGAAAAUUUCCCACGUAAGGACGCUUUGGAUAUUCAAUCCAAAAUAACAAAUUUUUGUAAAAUAAUUGUUUCAAGUGUCACGACAUGUAUUUCAAAUCCUACACAGAUUUCAGAAAUUCAAAACAUCCUUCAAAUCAUCUCAAACCCUUCAAAAAAAUACAAACGGAACAUAAAUUUACACAAUAUUUAACUGAAAAUUAUAUGUUUGAACAAUUUUAUACACAUACUGUAAACAAUGAAAUAGCAGAAAAAAAUUGUUCAGGCCAUACAGUUUUAAAAGAGUUAAAAUCAGAGGCAUAUGUAUUUAAGUUAAGAUUUUGCAUAAGAAAAAUAUCUGAAAAUGACACACUUCUCACGGAUACAAUAAAAAUAUCGAAGUUUUGGAGAAAAGUGUUGAAAUCUAACAAAGCGUUGUAUGCACUUAAAGAAGAAAUAAGGCACUUAGAAGAGGAAGGAAUUCAAAUUAAUUGCAGUGGAAGUACUUACCAUGUAUAUUUCGUUUUAGGUUUAAUAUUAGGGGAUAAUUUAGGUCUAAAACCAUUCUUGGUUUUUCUUAAUCUUUCAGUCCAACAAAUACUGCCGUUUAUGUAGUAGAAGAAAAGAAGAUACGCAAACAGAUGCAAAAGAAUACAUAACAUUUUUAAGAAAUUAAGAUAACUAUAAAACUGACUUAGAAACGAAUAAUACAAAGGAAACAGGUAUUUCUGAAAACUUUUAAUUACUUCUAAACUUU